UCGAGCGAACAGACGAGGAGCUCGCUCCUCUGACGUUAGCGGCGGACGGGUGAGUAACACGUGGAUAACCUACUUAUAAGACUGGGAUAACUUCGGGAAACCGGAGCUAAUACCGGAUAACAUGUUGAACCGCAUGGUUCAACAGUGAAAGACGGUCUUGCUGUCACUUAUAGAUGGAUCCGCGCCGCAUUAGCUAGUUGGUAAGGUAACGGCUUACCAAGGCAACGAUGCGUAGCCGACCUGAGAGGGUGAUCGGCCACACUGGAACUGAGACACGGUCCAGACUCCUACGGGAGGCAGCAGUAGGGAAUCUUCCGCAAUGGGCGAAAGCCUGACGGAGCAACGCCGCGUGAGUGAAGAAGGUCUUCGGAUCGUAAAACUCUGUUAUUAGGGAAGAACAAAUGUGUAAGUAACUAUGCACGUCUUGACGGUACCUAAUCAGAAAGCCACGGCUAACUACGUGCCAGCAGCCGCGGUAAUACGUAGGUGGCAAGCGUUAUCCGGAAUUAUUGGGCGUAAAGCGCGCGUAGGCGGUUUUUUAAGUCUGAUGUGAAAGCCCACGGCUCAACCGUGGAGGGUCAUUGGAAACUGGAAAACUUGAGUGCAGAAGAGGAAAGUGGAAUUCCAUGUGUAGCGGUGAAAUGCGCAGAGAUAUGGAGGAACACCAGUGGCGAAGGCGACUUUCUGGUCUGUAACUGACGCUGAUGU
rnacentral:rRNA from 1 species